rnacentral:lncRNA from 1 species
GCAAUAAUGUAGGCAUUUGCUUACAGCAACAGAAUCCAUUUAGGGAAUAAAUAAUUGACUGAUCUUAUUAUACUGAGCCUUUUCCUUCAAAAAGUUUAUAUCUCUGAUAUUUACAGAUACUAAGAAAAUUGACAAAUCGAUUCAAUUGUGUCAUCACAUGAAAAGAAUCCAUUUUAAUCAAAAUUUUUCAUCCACAUGUUACAAAACCUAUAAACACUUAGAUAUACUUAGAUCUAAUAAUCUCCAAGGUAGUGAUUUAUUGAGUGCUUAAAAAUUUGUGUACUGAACAGGCGCUUUAUAUAUGUUAUCUGCGUCACUACAACUCUGCAAAGGGUGCUGGGUUGGGUUUAUUUUUUCUCAUGUUUGAGGUUUUUGUUAGCACUUAUCAGCUAUUUAAGUGUUUUAUAUCUGUUAUUGACUUCAAAUUACAGCAAAGCAGCACUUUAGAGAUAAGAAAAAUGAGAAUCAGAGAAUUUAAAUGAGUUUUCCAAAGUCACACAGCACAUGGUAAAGAGCCUCCAAAUGAGUAGUGAAACACAUUGACAGAAAUGAGAUAAACCAUGAAAUUUACUUCACCACUGAAAGGAGGAUGGGAUUCUUUAAUUAUGCCAUAUGAAGGAGCUGUGCCUAAGUGCUGGCUUUAGUCUUAACUGGCUAUGUGAACAAGGGCAAACCUUAUAUCCAUGUGGUCCACAGAUCUUCAGUGUGUAAGGAGAUUAUUCAAAUUAUCUCUAUGGUCUCUACUAGGUUUUUAAUCAGAAACAUUUGUAAUUAAUCUUAAUAAAAAUAUUAUGAUUAAAAACAAUAGGUUAUAGCUAUGAUACUGCUUAAUUGGCUACUAAUGCAAGUUGGUGCACUACAGUUCUCCAAGGAAUGCUCUGGUUAGUGGUCAGAUAUAGUUUAAUUUAUCUUUUAAAUUUUCAUAUUAGGUGUCUUUUUAAAGAAAGAAGUUUGGAAUAUCUUUGAUAUUUUUAAAAAUUGUGUUACUAGUAGUAAAAAUAAUUACAAUAAUAAAAACAAGCAUAAAGAUCUACAAAUAGUUUCAAAACUAAUAAUGUCUUAAAUACACACCUACUACAGAUGUUAAAGGAAAUGUUUCUAUCAUUUUUACAAUUAGGCACACCAUUUGCUCUAAAUUUUAAAAUAUGAAUUCUCAAAAAUUUAGAAAAUUUUUAUCAUGAAUAAUUUGAAGUGUAAACGAACUACAGAGUAAUAUUGAAUGUAGUUAUACACACAUUACCUUGAUUUAACAGUUAUCAAAUGUUGACACGUUGUUUUGUCUCUCCCUCCUAGUCUUUCCCCCUUCUUGGCUGAAAUAUUUUAAAGCAGAUGCUAGGCCUCAGGUCAUUUACCUUCUCAAACUGUUAUAUGUAUUUCUAAAAUAUAUGGACAUUUUUCCAAUGACCAAAAUGCUAUUAUCAUCUGUUAAAAAAUUAGCAAUUAUUACUUGGUAUUAUUGAGAUCUCAUCUUAUGUUUAAAUUUUCCUUAUUGUGUCAAAAUAUUAUUUUUACAG